rnacentral:piRNA from 1 species
UGAAACUUUAUUUGUCUACCACAGAGGGUC